AUGAAAAGUGAUUCUUUCUAUUCUUAUGUGUUCUGUCUCAUUAUUAUUGUGAAAUUCUAUAACACUACCCAUACUGUUCCAUCAAACCAGAUUCAUUGGUACUCAAACCUAACUCUCUCACCCAUAAUUUCUCCCUCUAGACACACAUAUUCUCCGCAUUUUAGAGGAAAUUGUAAACCUCUAUAUAUUUGUCACCAUUUACCAUCCUUAUCCAAUACAUUGCAAAUGGGAUACCUUUUAACAUCAAUGAUUGAAAAAAGUUGUGGAAUCACAACUAAGGAGCAUUUUGAGUUGGUUGUGGUUGACAAUCAAAUGAGUUAA